GACGAACCGUGCGAACGUUGUUCGGAUUCACUGGGCUUAAAGGGCGCGUAGGCGGACCUGCCAGUCAGGGGUGAAAGCCCCCGGCCCAACCGGGGAAGUGCCUUUGAUACUGCGGGCCUCGAGCGGGAUAGGGGCAGCUGGAACUUCCGGUGGAGCGGUGAAAUGCGUAGAUAUCGGAAGGAACGCCGGUGGCGAAAGCGAGCUGCUGGAUCCCUCCUGACGCUGAGGCGCGAAAGCCAGGGGAGCGAACGGG
rnacentral:rRNA from 1 species